CUGGCUCAGGAUGAACGCUAGCGACAGGCCUAACACAUGCAAGUCGAGGGGCAGCGCGGAGUAGCAAUACUUGGCGGCGACCGGCGCACGGGUGAGUAACACGUAUGCAACCAACCCAUAACAGGGGGAUAACCCGGAGAAAUCCGGACUAAUACCGCAUAAGACCACGAUAUCGCAUGAUAUAGAGGUCAAAUAUUUAGUAGGUUAUGGACGGGCAGUGCGUCUGAUUAGCUGGUUGGCGGGGUAACGCCCACCAAGGCAUCGAUCAGUAGGGGUUCUGAGAGGAAGGUCCCCCACAUUGGAACUGAGACACGGUCCAAACUCCUACGGGAGGCAGCAGUGAGGAAUAUUGGUCAAUGGGCGAAAGCCUGAACCAGCCAUGUCGCGUGAAGGAAUGAAGGUCCUAUGGAUUGUAAACUUCUUUUGCAGGAGGGUAAAGUGAGCUACGUGUAGUUCAUUGCAAGUACCCUGCGAAUAAGCAUCGGCUAACUCCGUGCCAGCCGCUGC
rnacentral:rRNA from 1 species